CCCUUAGAUGUUCUGGGCCGCACGCGCGCUACACUGAUGCAUUCAACGAGUUCCUACCUUGGCCGAGAGGCCUGGGCAAUCUUUUGAACUUGCAUCGUGAUAGGGAUAGAUUAUUGCAAUUAUUAAUCUUGAACGAGGAAUUCCUAGUAAACGCAGAUCAUCAAUCUGCAUUGAUUACGUCCCUGCCCUUUGUACACACCGCCCGUCGCACCUACCGAUUGAAUGGUCCGGUGAAGCCUCGGGAUUGUGGUUCUUGCCGCUUUAUUGUGGCGUGACCGCGAGAACUUGUCUAAACCUUAUCAUCUAGAGGAAGGUGAAGUCGUAACA
rnacentral:rRNA from 1 species